rnacentral:rRNA from 1 species
AGAGUUUGAUCCUGGCUCAGGGUGAACGCUGGCGGCGUGCUUGACACAUGCAAGUCGAACGGUAUGUGGCAACACAUAGAGUGGCGAACGGGUGAGUAACACGUGGGAACGUACCCUACGCAGGGGGAUAACUGACCGAAAGGACAGCUAAUACCGCAUAAGACCGAAAGGUGAAAGGUGCAAAUGCAUCGGCGAAGGAGCGGCCCGCGGACCAUCAGCUAGUUGGUGGGGUAAGAGCCUACCAAGGCGACGACGGUUAGCCGGCGUGAGAGCGUGGCCGGCCACAAGGACACUGAGAUACGGGUCCUACUCCUACGGGAGGCAGCAGUGCGGAAUUUUAGAUAAUGGAGGCAACUCUGAUCUAGCGACGCCGCGUGCAGGAAGAAGGUCUUCGGAUUGUAAACUGCUGUGGUAAGGGAAAAAUGUCAUGUAGAGUGGAAAGCUACAUGGAGGGAUGGUACCUUACUAGAAAGCCCCGGCUAACUACGUGCCAGCAGCCGCGGUAAUACGUAGGGGGCGAGCGUUACCCGGAAUCACUGGGCGUAAAGGGAGCGUAGGUGGCCUGACAUGUCAACUGUGAAAACCCGGAGCUCAACUCCGGACUUGCAGUUGAAACUGCCAGGCUUGAGGACGGUAGAGGAAGACGGAACUGCCAGUGUAGGGGUAAAAUCCUUAGAUAUUGGCAGGAACGCCGGUGACGAAGGUGGUUUUCUGGGCCGGUUCUGACACUGAUGCUCGAAAGCCAGGGGAGCGAACGGGAUUAGAUACCCCGGUAGUCCUGGCCCUAAACGAUGUUCACUAGGUGUGGGGAGCGGAAAGCUUUCCGUGCUAAAGCUAACGCGAUAAGUGAACCGCCUGGGGAGUACGCCCGCAAGGGUGAAACUCAAAGGAAUUGACGGGGGCCCGCACAAGCGGUGGAGCGUGUGGUUUAAUUCGAUGCUAAGUCAAAGGCUUACCAAGGUUUGACAUGCUGAUAGUAGUGAAUUGAAAGAGGAACGACCACACUUUGUGUGGAGUCAGCACAGGUGGUGCACGGCCGUCGUCAGCUCGUGCCGUGAGGUGUUGGGUUAAGUCCCGCAA